rnacentral:misc_RNA from 1 species
GAUGAAGAACGCCGCGAAAUGCGAUAAGUAAUGUGAAUUGCAGAAUUCAGUGAAUCAUCGAGUCUUUGAACGCACAUUGCGCCCCCUGGUAUUCCGGGGGGCAUGCCUGUCCGAGCGUCAUUGCUGCCCUCAAGCACGGCUUGUGUGUUGGGCCGUCGUCCCCCUCCUAGGGGACGGGCCCGAAAGGCAGCGGCGGCACCGCGUCCGGUCCUCGAGCGUAUGGGGCUUCGUCACCCGCUCCGUAGGCCCGGCCGGCGCUUGCCGACGACCAUCAAUCUCUUUCUCCAGGUUGACCUCGGAUCAGGUAGGGAUACCCGCUGAACUUAAGCAUAUCAAUAAGCGGAGGA